rnacentral:rRNA from 1 species
AGUGAACGCUGGCGGUAGGCCUAACACAUGCAAGUCGAACGGCAGCACAGUAAUAGCUUGCUCUUACGGGUGGCGAGUGGCGGACGGGUGAGGAAUACAUCGGAAUCUACUUUUUCGUGGGGGACAACGUAGGGAAACUUACGCUAAUACCGCAUACGACCUACGGGUGAAAGCAGGGGAUCUUCGGACCUUGCGCGAUUGAAUGAGCCGAUGUCGGGUUAGCUAGUUGGCGGGGUAAAGGCCCACCAAGGCGACGAUCCGUAGCUGGUCUGAGAGGAUGAUCAGCCACACUGGAACUGAGACACGGUCCAGACUCCUACGGGAGGCAGCAGUGGGGAAUAUUGGACAAUGGGCGCAAGCCUGAUCCAGCCAUACCGCGUGGGUGAAGAAGGCCUUCGGGUUGUAAAGCCCUUUUGUUGGGAAAGAAAAGCAGCAGGUUAAUACCCCGCUGUUCUGACGGUACCCAAAGAAUAAGCACCGGCUAACUUCGUG